rnacentral:lncRNA from 1 species
GCCCAAGAUCGUCAAAAAGAGAACCAAGAAAUUCAUCCGGCACCAGUCAGACCGAUAUGUCAAAAUCUUCAGCGUAACUGGUGGAAACCCAGAGGCAUUGACAACAGGGUUCAUAGAAGGUUCAAGGGCCAGGUCUUGAUAUGAUGCCCAGCAUUGGUUAUAGGAGCAAAAAAAAAAAAAAAAAAAAAAAACCAGAAAGCACGUGCUGCCCAGUGGCUUCCGGAAGUUCCUGGUCCACAAUGUCAAGGAGCUGAGAGUGCUGCUGAUAUGCAACA